GUGAGAGGAGGAGAAGAGAAGAAAGGAUCAGAUUUGACUCAUCAAAAAGAGAGACCAGACUCAGAGGAACCAGAGACGUCUGAACCAGCGAGACGACAUCACUGUUCACAGUGUGGGAAGAGUUAUACCCGUUUAUGGAGCCUGAAAAACCAUAAGAGAACACAUGCAGGGAAGAAGCCGUAUCAUUGCUCUCAGUGUGGAAAGAGUUUUACACGGUUAGGGAGCCUUGAAAUACAUAAGAGAAUACACACAGGAGACAAGCCUUACCAAUGCUUCCAGUGUGGAAAGAGAUUUAUCCAGUCAACACACCUGAACGAGCAUAAGAGAAUACACACAGGGGAAAAACCAUUCCAAUGCUCUCAGUGUGGAAGGACAUUUUCACGAUCAGGGGACCUCAAAUCUCAUGAGAGAAUACACACAGGGGAAAAGCCUUAUCACUGCUCCCAUUGUAAAAGUAGUUUUAGCUGGUCAGGGCAACUGAACGAGCAUGAGAGAACACACACAUGGGUGAAGCCUUACCACUGCUCCCAGUGUGGAAAGAGUUUUACACGGUUGGGGUCCCUUAAAUCACAUAAGAUAUAUACACACACACAGAAGACAAGCCCUAUCACUACUCCCAGUGUGAAAAUAAGUAUUUGUCAUUAGGGGACAUGAAAAAGCAUGAGAGAAAACACUGUAGAGAAGCCUUUCCACUGCUCUCUGUGUAGAAUGGGAUUUACCCAGUCAUGGCAUCUGAAAGCGCAUAAGAGAAUACACACGAGAUAAGCCAUUCCAAUGCUUGCAGUGUGGAAAGAGUUAUAUCCGGUAAGGGAAUUUAGAAACGCAUGAGAUGACACACAUGAAAUAACGAGAGAAAAUGGCCAAAUGUAGAUUUCCGCCUAAAUAGACAUGCAAAAGUAACAGCUAUUCAUGUGUAAUUACGUGAUUCUGACAUGCAAAAACUUGGUAUAUUUGGAAAGAAGACAUCUGGGAGAUAAUGCUGGAAAUUAUCAGAAGAUAGAAGUUACAUAGUUCAGAAUACACAAGAUCAAGCACACACAAAAUACACUUAAAAAAUAUAUAUAUAUUUUGGCCCCUGUGUUACUUCACCAGUUCUCCUACCAUGUAUUACUAUUAUGUGAUUAGCCUAGUUGGUGUUGUAAUGUUAAUUCCCAUGAGAGGAAUUAUGGUGUUUUUUUCCUAUCAUUGUAAAUUGUGUAUAGAGAUUGAGCUGACAUGUAUUAUUUAAUGUAUAUUGUUUAUUGGAUUUACAUUGAAAUAAUGCUCUCUUUCUUCCUGUUUCCCUCUGUACACAGACCACUUAUAUACUCUGGUUCAUCAUUAAAACUCCUACUGACAGACUGA